GGCUGAAAUCUGCAAUUAUUUGCAUUAUUCUAGGCUGGUGCAGUGAAAGUAAAGAGGGUGGGGAAAGAAAAGUUCUAAACUUUACACCUAGCGUUUAAUAGGCAUCAUGUGAGUUCCCAUAGGCAAUUAGCAUAGGGUUUAUAAUGCAAUAUGAGAAGAUGAAGAUCCUAAUACAAUUUAGGAAUUCUUUUCAUUUUCCAAAAUCCUAAUGUGAUCAGGAUUCUUAAUUCUAUAAAUAGGACCUAAGGUUUCUCUUAUUAUUAGUUUUGGAUAAUGAUUAUUAAUUGAAAAU
rnacentral:misc_RNA from 1 species